UACGUAGGGUGCGAGCGUUGUCCGGAAUUAUUGGGCGUAAAGGGCUCGUAGGCGGUCUGUCACGUCGGGAGUGAAAACUCAGGGCUUAACCCUGAGCCUGCUUCCGAUACGGGCAGACUAGAGGUAUGCAGGGGAGAACGGAAUUCCUGGUGUAGCGGUGAAAUGCGCAGAUAUCAGGAGGAACACCGGUGGCGAAGGCGGUUCUCUGGGCCGAUACUGACGCUGAGGAGCGAAAGCGUGGGGAGCGAACAGG
rnacentral:rRNA from 1 species